rnacentral:rRNA from 1 species
UCCCUACGGGACGCAGCAGUGGGGAAUAUUGGACAAUGGGGGGAACCCUGAUCCAGCGACGCCGCGUGAGUGAAGAAGUAUUUCGGUAUGUAAAGCUCUAUCAGCAGGGAAGAAAGAAAUGACGGUACCUGAAUAAGAAGCCCCGGCUAACUACGUGCCAGCAGCCGCGGUAAUACGUAGGGGGCAAGCGUUAUCCGGAUUUACUGGGUGUAAAGGGAGCGUAGACGGCAAUACAAGUCGGAAGUGAAAUACCCGGGCUCAACCUGGGAACUGCUUUGGAAACUGUAUGGCUAGAGUGCUGGAGG